UGGCGGCGUGCCUAAUACAUGCAAGUCGAACGAACUCUGGUAUUGAUUGGUGCUUGCAUCAUGAUUUACAUUUGAGUGAGUGGCGAACUGGUGAGUAACACGUGGGAAACCUGCCCAGAAGCGGGGGAUAACACCUGGAAACAGAUGCUAAUACCGCAUAACAACUUGGACCGCAUGGUCCGAGUUUGAAAGAUGGCUUCGGCUAUCACUUUUGGAUGGUCCCGCGGCGUAUUAGCUAGAUGGUGGGGUAACGGCUCACCAUGGCAAUGAUACGUAGCCGACCUGAGAGGGUAAUCGGCCACAUUGGGACUGAGACACGGCCCAAACUCCUACGGGAGGCAGCAGUAGGGAAUCUUCCACAAUGGACGAAAGUCUGAUGGAGCAACGCCGCGUGAGUGAAGAAGGGUUUCGGCUCGUAAAACUCUGUUGUUAAAGAAGAACAUAUCUGAGAGUAACUGUUCAGGUAUUGACGGUAUUUAACCAGAAAGCCACGGCUAACUACGUGCCAGCAGCCGCGGUAAUACGUAGGUGGCAAGCGUUGUCCGGAUUUAUUGGGCGUAAAGCGAGCGCAGGCGGUUUUUUAAGUCUGAUGUGAAAGCCUUCGGCUCAACCGAAGAAGUGCAUCGGAAACUGGGAAACUUGAGUGCAGAAGAGGACAGUGGAACUCCAUGUGUAGCGGUGAAAUGCGUAGAUAUAUGGAAGAACACCAGUGGCGAAGGCGGCUGUCUGGUCUGUAACUGACGCUGAGGCUCGAAAGUAUGGGUAGCAAACAGGAUUAGAUACCCUGGUAGUCCAUACCGUAAACGAUGAAUGCUAAGUGUUGGAGGGUUUCCGCCCUUCAGUGCUGCAGCUAACGCAUUAAGCAUUCCGCCUGGGGAGUACGGCCGCAAGGCUGAAACUCAAAGGAAUUGACGGGGGCCCGCACAAGCGGUGGAGCAUGUGGUUUAAUUCGAAGCUACGCGAAGAACCUUACCAGGUCUUGACAUACUAUGCAAAUCUAAGAGAUUAGACGUUCCCUUCGGGGACAUGGAUACAGGUGGUGCAUGGUUGUCGUCAGCUCGUGUCGUGAGAUGUUGGGUUAAGUCCCGCAACGAGCGCAACCCUUAUUAUCAGUUGCCAGCAUUAAGUUGGGCACUCUGGUGAGACUGCCGGUGACAAACCGGAGGAAGGUGGGGAUGACGUCAAAUCAUCAUGCCCCUUAUGACCUGGGCUACACACGUGCUACAAUGGAUGGUACAACGAGUUGCGAACUCGCGAGAGUAAGCUAAUCUCUUAAAGCCAUUCUCAGUUCGGAUUGUAGGCUGCAACUCGCCUACAUGAAGUCGGAAUCGCUAGUAAUCGCGGAUCAGCAUGCCGCGGUGAAUACGUUCCCGGGCCUUGUACACACCGCCCGUCACACCAUGAGAGUUUGUAACACCCAAAGUCGGUGGGGUAACCUUUUAGGAACCAGCCGCCUAAGGUGGGACAGAUGAUUA
rnacentral:rRNA from 2 species